rnacentral:rRNA from 1 species
AGUGAACGCUGGCGGUAGGCCUAACACAUGCAAGUCGAACGGCAGCACAGUAAGAGCUUGCUCUUACGGGUGGCGAGUGGCGGACGGGUGAGGAAUACAUCGGAAUCUACUUUUUCGUGGGGGAUAACGUAGGGAAACUUACGCUAAUACCGCAUACGACCUACGGGUGAAAGCAGGGGAUCUUCGGACCUUGCGCGAUUGAAUGAGCCGAUGUCGGAUUAGCUAGUUGGCGGGGUAAAGGCCCACCAAGGCGACGAUCCGUAGCUGGUCUGAGAGGAUGAUCAGCCACACUGGAGCUGAGAGACGGUCCAGACUCCUACGGGAGGCAGGAGUGGGGAGUGUUGGACAAUGGGCGCAAGCCUGACCCAGCCAUGCCGCGUGAGUGAAGAAGGCCGUCGGGUUGUAAAGCCCUUUUGUUGGGAAAGAAAAGCAGCAGGUUAAUACCCCGCUGUUCUGACGGUACCCAAAGAAUAAGCACCGGCUAACUUCGU